AGUUUAUUGAGGUACAAUUUAAUAAAUUUUAUAAUAUUAUCGGGGCUAGUAUGAGAAUUUAUCCUUUGGAGAAAUCAAAAAUCGUGGUUCAGGCGAACGAAGAAAGGAAUUAUCAUAUCUUUUAUCAAAUAUGCUCAGUGGCGAAACGUCUUCCACACCUACAUCUUGAAAACUCAAUCGAAUUUCAUUGCAUCAAUCCAGAAAAUAAUUCUAGAAUCAAAGGAGUUAACGAUCUUUCAUGAUUCGAUGAUACAAUUAGUACUAUGACGCUUGACUUUACAUUCAAACAGUAAAAUAAUAUGUUGAGAAUAUUAGCAACCAUAUUGCAUUUAAGAAGCAUAAAUAUAAAUACCUUUGAUAUACAAAACGAGGAUGAUGAUAAUACAGAAGCUACUUUUAUUUCUGUAAGUUUUCUAUAAGAAAUUUCAUGAAUUACUUGGUACGAACAUGAAUGCUAUGCGAAAAUGGCUUCGCUAUAGGAAGAUCAUAUCGAUGAGGAAAGACUUUUUAAAGCCAAUGAAUGCAAAACAAGCGAUAAGAACUAGAAUUGCUUUGGCAAAACACAUUUAUUCCAAGCUAUCCAAUUGGAUAGUAAUCUGUAUUAAUAAUUCACUACAAUUUCAAGACAAGGUUCAGUGUUUCAUAAGUGUGUUGGAUAUUUACGCAUUCGGAACAUUUGAAAUAAACUCUUUUAAAAUCUUGUAUAAACUAUGCGAAUAAAAAGUUACAGCAACAAUUCAAUCAGUAUAUCUUUAAACUUGGACAAGAAAAAUAUUUCAAGAAAGGGAUUGAAUGGACUUUUAUAAAUAUUUACAAUGAUAGAUUAAUAGAACCGUGCAUCGAUUUAAUAGAAUUAAAAUUAAACAUAUUAUAUACACUGGAAGAAAAGUAUCGGAUAAAAAAGAUGAUUUGAUUCACAGAUAAUAUGUCAAUUAGUACUGUUGUGUAAGAUAAAUAUACGUAUAUACGUAUAUAUUUCAUUAAAAUAGUCAAGCAGGUUACUUCGUUAAUUUUAAAUAAAAUUUUUGAAUAUAUUUGUGAGCAACUGCAACUUUUAUCAUGAUCUUACUACGAUACAACGAAAAGAAAUUAAUUUUUUAAUCAAUGAUUUAUAUUUUAAUAUAACAAUGAAUAUUUGACAUAGAUGCCAAAAUGAAUGGAUACUUCAUGGGCCGAUAAACUCUCUGCAAAAUGUAAAAAAUCAAAACAUUUCAAAAAGCCACAAAAUACUUAUUUUCUUAAUAUAUCACUUGGCUGAUUUGAUCCAACAGAAGGCGUUAGAUUUUCUUGCGAAGAACAGAGAUACAAUGAUGGGGACACAAAUAGAUGUGUUAAAAACUAGUGAGGUUUAAUAUGUUGAUAUAGGUAUAAAAAAAUGAAAAGAGCGAUUUUAGAUUUUCAAAGAUAUAGUAAAGGAUUUUUGGCAAGGCAAAGGGCUGAAUGGAUUAGAUGCGAAAGAACUGCCAUUAAAAUUCAAAUGAAUAUUAGAGGCUGAUUUAAGAGUGUGCUAUCAAAGAAUUAGACGCACAAUUAUUAGUAUUUGGAAUUAUGAUAGAGGUAAAAUGACAAGAGAAAGAAAUUGUUUAAUGAAGGACACUAUAAGUACAACGAUCAUUCGAUAUAUAAAAGGAUAUUUAGUUAGAAUGAUAUGUAAAAAGAAAGUGAGAAAUAUAGUUCAGUCGUGUAUAAAAAAAUAUAUGGCUAAGAAAAUAUUUAGAGAACUAUAUAUUGAAGCUAAAAACGUAAAACAUGUCAAAUUUAUUAACAAUAAAGAAAAAGAUUAUCACUUUACAACAAAAAAUAAAUAAAUUUAUAAAUAUUUUUCUUUGUUAGGCGUUAGUUUAAUUCAGUAAGUAAUUAUUUGGAAUUAUUAUGAUCAUUUUAAAUAAAAGAAGAUUAACAUUUAAUGAAUGUGCAUAAUAAAAUAUUUCAUUUAAAAAAUAAGUUUGGAAAGACAAAUUCGCAAACGUCAGGAAUAAAAAGUUAAACGUUAUCCAAUUAAAGAAACAAAAAAAAAAUUAGAAAAAAUGUAGAAUGUAUUUAGACAAGAAAGAGAUGA